UUCAAUUUUUCUAUGAACCUAAAACUGCUCUAAAAACCAACCUACUAAAACAACAAAAAGAAACCACCAAAAAGAACAAAACAUAUAAAACCCUAAUAGUAAAAGAGCUAACAUGGGGAGGGACCUAGUACCAUGAGAGGGUGUUAUCUUGGUGAUGUGAUCUGUUGUGUGUGUGUGGGGGGGGGUAUGGGGGGGGUGUCCUCCCAUCCCCCACCACUCAGGUGGAAGGCAAGAUCUAAAUGAAAAGUUAAUGUGGAUCAGACAAAUGGUUCAAUGCUUUGGAAAGAGAGAAGAGUAUAUUUGAAUCCCAGCCAUAGAGUAAAGUAGGGCUUGGCCCAUUUGAGGAUAACCAAGCCUCUGGGGUGGAUGUGGUUGAACUGCAGAGAGCAAGUGAACUCUGUGGGAGCUGAGGCUGGGGAGGGGGGUGGUGCUGUUCAGGUACUAACAGCUGUAGGAGAGUAAGGUUUCUGAGGUGCUAUAAUAGCAAUUUAUUUUAAGCAAUGUCCUCAAUUGUUUCAUCUAUUGAGGAAUGAUUUGCAGUGAAAUGCAAAAAUAAGUAAAUUUUGAUCCAUGAAAACCAUGUAAGUUCAGCACCCAGAGUAGUCUUUCAAUCUCCCAGGGACCUCCUAUACCUACUGCUCCCCUGAAUCCCUCCACAACUAAGAUUUCUCUGACUUCUACCCCAUGGAUGAGCUUUGCCUUCAUCAAAAAACUAUUGAUGUCUAAAAUAACAUGAUGAAUUUCAGUAAUGGUGCCAUGCAAGAGAAAGUUAAGUCACACAUGUACUCAUUGGAAUUUGUAUGACACCAUCCCACCAGAACACAGCUUUUCUUUAGGAAAGAGUUCCUUUGGCUUUACUGUGGAAUGCAAUUUGGAGAAAGACAGAAGGAUUUGGCUGUGAACCAGAGAAAAAAAAUAUUUUCCUUCUUGUAAGAAGGGAAAUGGGAAUUAGGGAAGAGCAUGGCACCAGUUAGUAGCAGGACUCUACAGCAGGACCUCUGAGUGUGCAUCCUCACUCUGCCAUUGUCCUCCCCGUGACCUUCAGGGAGUUUAAGAAACUCUCUGUGUCUUAGCUUCCUCAUCUAUGGGUGAAGACUGACUUGUGCUAUCCACAGUACAACAGCUGGAAAGACUGAGAGUGUGGAUUCCCUAUUGACUGCACCAGGAAAGCCAAAUGGACUGAUAGGAAGCAAUAAAAUUUUGGUCAGAAGAAUUCAAGUUCAAGAAUUGGGAAGAAUCCAUUCUUGUGUAAAAUUCCAAAAACACCAAGAAAAGAUGACUUUUAGUAAAGAAAGAAAAGGCAAUUCUUCAAAGGGCAAUCUCGACACACACAAAUAUCAACAACUGGAUCAGAACAUUGGUGUUGGAAUCUACAUUAUAUUCUUAGGUCUGCUAAUAAGGCAGCUUCCUCUUGUUGUUUUUUGUAAAUGAUAAAUCAGGCAAUAUGCAAAAAGUGCAUGGGCUGAGUAUUAGGCAAGCAAGUUCUCACAAGUACCAUAAAGAUGAACCAGUCAGUAAUAUUUUUGAUAUCAGGUGUUUACAAAGUACAUGUUAUAAAACAAUUCCAAAUUCUUAUCAAAUACAAAUGCAAUUUAGGGAAUAAACAUGGAGGAAAAUUGGCCAUGAAGAUUUCAUAAAACUUCCAAUUAAAUAAGAAAAAUUACCUUAAUUGCAGAAAGGCUCUUUUGUGGUGAAGAAACAGUUCAACAAAUUUAACCUGCACUUUGAAUCAUACAAAACAACUUUGUUUAUAAUGCUGUCUUCCUGUUAUGAUGGUAACUUUUGUAAUUGCUGUUGCUGCUACCUAGAGUAUAAAUUAAAUAUCUUUUUUUUUAAGGGAAAAAAAGACUCUUUUUCUCUUUCUCUCAGAUAACACAGGGUGAUUUUUAAAAGAUCUCUCUCUCUCUCACACACACACACACAAAAUGUUUCCUUUUCAAUGCUUUGGGAAGAAGUCUUCAGAAAGAAUGAACCAAACACAAAACAUAAGAACUUUAAAAAUAAGUUGAAGUGAAUUGUACAUAUAUGAACUCUAUCAGACUGGUGGGAUUUCUUUCUGAUUAGAGGUUGGAAUCCUAUUUUGGGAUUUUCCCUUUUCCUAUAUCCAUUUUUAUUUCUUAAAUAAAGAAAAAGGGUUAGCUGCCUGCCAGUGCACAGCAUUCUGGUUUUAACAGAGAAAUUUGAAAUCCAGGCCAUGGAGAAAAUGAUACUUUCAUCCCUUCAGCAGUUCACAGUAUGAAGCAUUUGCUGUGGACUCCACACCUAAAGACCUUUGGGGCCCUGGGCUCCAGCUCUGGUGGCACUGAGCCCUAGAUAGUAUUGGUAAGUUCUCAUUAGCUGCAUUGUCUUCUGAACUUGACCUUCAAUAUGGUUCCUCAUGAGCUUUUCUGUCCUUGCUUUUUAACUUUUACUUCCAGGGAAGCAUGCCGUGCAGCUUCAACAAACCCCAGAGGAAUUGGUGACCAGGUCUGGAUCAAGAUCAAGAAAUCCAGGAUGUAAGAAAAGUUAAGUGAGGUAGACAGAAAAAGGCACAGGCUUUGAAAGUAACUUUGUAUGCUUAUCUUUUGAAAACAAAAUGGAGAGUAUAAACUUUUAUCAAUGGAAGGAAGGAAAUUGAAGCUUUACUAUUAAAUUUAAGCAAUGAGCUCCCAGUUAUCUGGCUGUAUAUGCAACCCCAGUGUAAUCUGCAGUGGAGAGGACUGGUCCUGUGUCUUAGAGCAAAGCAUGAUGGGGAAUUGAAAGCAUGUGACAGACAUCCUGCACUUCAAGGUUGGGCUGUUGGCUGCCGUGAAGCAUCCAUGAAGUGGGGGCUUAGGUAGGAGUUUGGGAGCUGCUCCUGGCCCUUCCUACCAGGGUCUGGGCAUGCACUUACCUCCUUCUCCCAACUACCUUGUAGAUGAACCCAGAACCGAAACUCUUCCUUUUUCUUCAGAUCCUCUAUUCUCUUUCCCCUUGGGUCUUUCCUUUCUUUCUCAGAUUUCCCUACCAAUUGUGGCCUCAUUUACCUGCCCCAUUUUGGGUAGGUCUGCUGGGGUGGAGUGGGAGUAGGAGAAGAUAAGCAAUGCCGACCAGUCAGCAGGGACACUCUCAUUAUAGCCCCUGAAAAUUGUUUUUGCUAUUUCUCUAAAAGAAGCUCCCUCUCUUUUUCAGUUUCAAGAUUUAUGGCCAAUGUGUCCCCUGAGUAAAGCUUUCUUUAAGAAGUGAGGCUGGCUUAGGUGUAGGCAAAGCCUCAAGAAGGGAAGUGGUAUUUGUCAGACCCCUGGGAGGGAGCAUAAGUGGUCUGGUGGUGGAGGGAAACACUACCACAAAAAAUAGUUCAGAGUUUGAGCUCUGAGAUGGCCUACUUCUGAGGCUCAAGUUAGCCUUUGGGUUAUCAUAAUUGAUUUGUUUUUCAUUUUGAAUUUCCUCAAGCAUUCUAAGCAUUUCAGGUACUAUACUACACCCUCAGGACACCAACUUUGUGUCUUUACUGAGAGAGUGAACAUUUGGAUAGGAUAGGGAAACAAGUGCAAUGGGUUAUAUCUGGAAGGCCCCCCAAGGGCCCACUUGGUAGAGCCUUGUUCUCCAUCAUGGAAGUAUUGGGAAGUGGUGGACCUUUAAGAGGUGGGGGGUCACAGGACAUUGGGGGCAUACCUUCUUAUGAAGAGUUUUUAUGGGGCCUCCUUCUUCCAUUCAUUCUUCUUUUGCUUUCUGUCCAUGAGGUGAAUGGCUUUGUGAGAUGCAUUUCCAUCAUAUGUUGCCUAAUCCCAGGCCCCAAAGCCUAGGGCCAAGAAAUCAUAGACUGGAUUCUUCCAAAUUGGGCUGAAAGAAACCUUUUUUUUGAAUUGAUUAUUUCAGGUAUUUUGUUACAGUAACAGAAAGUUGGCUGAAACAACAGGGAUUUAUAAUGAAAUAUGACAAAUAUUAAUAAAGAUUUCAUAAAAUGAUAUGGUCACAAAGCAGAAUUUUAAAAAUCUCUUAUUUAUGCAAAAGAAGUUCUCGGACUAAGAUUAGUUUUUAUGAUUAGCAUAAACUAAUGAUACUAGGUGAAGAAAUUUGACAUCUUUUCAAGUAUCUUGUGUUCUUAAAGAAAUAUCCUUAGCUUUUAGAAUAUAUGUUUUUUAAUUCUCUGGUCAGGCACCUACUAGUUCUAAAAAUUUAAUGAAAUUACUUAAAAUGAAUGUCUUAGUUGGCUUUUCUGCAAAAUGUUAAAUAAUAUAACAAUUCUUAAUUCAUAGAUUGUUCUGGAUAAUUAAAUUAGUUAACACAUGAAAAGUGCUUAUGUCCGUGCUUGGUCCACAAUUAGAACAUAAUAAACUUGCUCUAUCAUUACUCUAUCAUUGUGAUGGUUGUUCUCAUCAUUGUCAGCAUCAUUAUCUUAUCAUUUUUAUUUCUAGUGUACAAAAAAAAUACUUAAAUUGAGUUGUACUUUCAGGAGACUCUGAGACCGACUUGGCUAGAUUGACUUGUGUUCCCAUGUAGCAUAGUUGGAAAGGCUCAUGGGCUUGAUUGCCUACUGACUGCACAGGAGAGUCCAUUUAUAAUGGUUGGUACAAAUAAACGUUUUGGUGAGAAGAAUUUAAAUGCAAGAAAUCAGAAGAGUCUAAUCUUGAAUGAUUCCAAAACACUUACCAAGAAGAUGAUUUUUUUUGUAGUGAAAAGACAA
rnacentral:lncRNA from 1 species